rnacentral:rRNA from 1 species
AGCGAACGCUGGCGGCAGGCCUAACACAUGCAAGUCGAGCGCCCCGCAAGGGGAGCGGCAGACGGGAGAGUAACACGUGGGAACGUACCCUUUGGUUCGGAACAACCCAGGGAAACUUGGGCUAAUACCGAAUAAGCCCUUACGGGGAAAGAUUUAUCGCCGAAGGAUCGGCCCGCGUCUGAUUAGCUAGUUGGUGAGGUAACGGCUCACCAAGGCGACGAUCAGUAGCUGGUCUGAGAGGAUGAUCAGCCUCACUGGGACUGAGACACGGCCCAGACUCCUACGGGAGGCAGCAAUGGGGAAUAUUGGACAAUGGGCGCAAGCCUGAUCCAGCCAUGCCGCGUGGGUGAUGAAGGCCCUAGGGUUGUAAAGCCCUUUCGGCGGGGAAGAUAAUGACGGUACCCGCAGAAGAAGCCCCGGCUAACUUCGUGCCAGCCGCCGCAGUAA